rnacentral:lncRNA from 1 species
GUUGCCCAGCGGCGGAGCGAGUCCCCCGCGCCCCGAUCCUGACCCUCCCCCUCCCCGACGACCGAAAGCUGCAAGAAACGAAAGCAUCGGAUGUUACAAUCCCACAACAGAAACCAAGAAAUCCAACUCCGACAUCAAUGAAGAACCAAGAACCUGAACCGCGCGGGCAGAGAGAAAGAAUUUUGCGCUUUUCUUGGGUUGGGAGGGAACACGCACCUGGAUUGCCCACCGGCGGCUGGAGCACCGGAUUCGUCUGAGAGAAGCCGGAUGGGACACCAUCAACGGGCGAAGUCGCCGCCGUCACCCGUGGAAGCUCCUGCAAAGUCUCGUUGCCGCCUGAAGUCGCGGUGUCUUCCAGGGCUUCCUCACGCGCACGCCGCUGGCGCUUCACUGGCCCAUCAUUGCCGGCGACGGCCUUGCCCUUGUCCGCCAUCUCGCCUCUCGGUCGAACAGCUUCGCAAGAACCGCGGGCGCACCCGAGACGAAGAGGAGAGGGGGAGGGCGGAUGGAAGGAAGCUACGUAUCACGUAUGAGAAAGGAUGGGAGAGGAGGAAGGCGAGGCGAGGCGAGGCGAGGGGGGCUAUAUAGACGACGACGGGAGAGCGUCUCCCGUCCGCUGCAACCGAUUUCAGUUCCAGUU